UAAAGUGUAUAGUUUUAAGAGGUAGUAAAGCUUGUGGAGUAAGUAUACAUGUUGAAGGUAAUGACGUCACGUCCGGGCGAGGAGCGAGUCCUUCCCAGCGUCUGGCCCGUCAGAUUAAUAUCCCGGCAAGAUGCGUGCUAAGUGGAGGAAGAAGCGUAUGCGCAGGCUGAAGAGAAAGCGCAGGAAGAUGAGGGCGAGGUCAAAGUAGACUUCCUUUUACCCCUUUGCAAGAUGAAUGCUGUUGCCGAUACUUCAGUUUCCCCCAUUUUGCAUAAAUUUUAAUAAACAUCUUAAAGGGU